GACGAACGCUGGCGGCGUGCUUAACACAUGCAAGUCGAACGGAAAGGCCCUGCUUUUGUGGGGUGCUCGAGUGGCGAAGGGGUGAGUAACACGUGAGUAACCUGCCCUUGACUUUGGGAUAACUUCGGGAAACUGGGUCUAAUACCGGAUAGGAGUGCCUGCGGCAUGGUGGGGGUUGGAAAGUUUCGGCGGUUGGGGAUGGACGCGCGGUUUAUGAGCUGGUUGGUGGGGUUGUGGCUUACCAAGGUUUUGAGGGGGAGCCGGCCUGAGAGGGUGGCCGGCUAGAGUGGGACUGAGAGCCGGCACACAUACCUACGGGAGGAAGGGGGGGGAAUUCAUGAAGAACGGGCGGCAGCUGGAGCCAGCACCGCCGGGUGCGGGAGGACGGCGUUCGGGUUGUAACCCGCUUUCGCGUGUGACGAAGCGUGGGUGAGGGUAAUGGAUAAAGAAGCACCGGCUAAUUACGG
rnacentral:rRNA from 1 species